UACAUAUGGGGCAAGCGUUGUUCGGAAUUACUGGGCAUAAAGGGUGCGUAGGUGGUCUAUUAAGUCAGGGGUGAAAUCCCGCGGCCCAACCACAGAAUGGCCUUCGAUACUGGGACGCUUGAGUAUGGUAGAGGUUGGUGGAACUGCGAGUGUAGAGGUGAAAUUCGUAGAUAUUCGCAAGAACACCGGUGGCGAAGGCGGCCAACUGGACCAUUACUGACGCUGAGGCGCGAAAGCGUGGGGAGCAAACAGG
rnacentral:rRNA from 1 species